AGCAUUUGCAAGGAGCAUCUAAUUGAUCUCUGUACAACAUCCAUAAGAAGGUGCUUUCCACCCAGGAUCUCGCUGCUGGAAGUCCUUUUGGUUUACAUACUUAUAUAUCUGCUGGAUAAUCUCCACAGGUUACAUAUUCUUUGGGGCACCUUUUUCUCUCUGUAUGGAAAACAUCUUGGGAGUUAGUCCACUUUUCUAUCAAAUUCACUUUUUUAAACGCCUUUUUUUGACCUUUUUGGUCUCAAUCUCUGAUGAGAUAGUGUUUGGCGAUUUUAUGUGGAUUUGGAUUACGGAUCGGCUUGGGGAUCUUGGGUCAGCACUGUGGAGGUUAUUUCAGGUGUAGAAUGGAGACACAGCCAUAGGCACUAUGAAACAGUAAAGACACUUUACAUCCCUGAUGAAGAUCAAACUUUAAAAGUUUUUUCGGAAACGCGUCGGAUCAGUCCAUCUUUCACAAAAUUCACCUCUUUGGGGUGAAUUUCAUGUUGUAACAUGGCAUAGUGUCAAUCUGUCUAUUUAUAUGUUUUCAAUGUAAAUGUUUUGUUCUUUUUCACCAAUUUUGUAUUUCAUGUAAUUUUUGUAAUU